rnacentral:rRNA from 1 species
AGAGUUUGAUCAUGGCUCAGAACGAACGCUGGCGGCGUGCUUAACACAUGCAAGUCGAGUGCGCGGUUGUAGCAAUACAACUGGCGCACGGCGCACGGGUGCGUAACACGUGGGCAAUCUGCCCUCCGAUGGGGAAUAACUCCGGGAAACCGAAGCUAAUUCCGCAUAACAUUCCCUGGACUCCGGUUCGGGGAUUCAAAGCAGUAAUGCGUCGGAGGAGGAGCCCGCGCCCGAUUAGCUAGUUGGUGAGGUAACGGCUCACCAAGGCUAUGAUCGGUAGCUGGUCUGAGAGGAUGGCCAGCCACACUGGAACUGAGACACGGUCCAGACUCCUACGGGAGGCAGCAGUGGGGAAUCUUGCGCAAUGGGCGAAAGCCUGACGCAGCGACGCCGCGUGGGGGAUGAAGCUUCUCGGAGUGUAAACCCCUUUCGACCGGGACGAAUGCCCGCAAGGGAGUGACGGUACCGGUAGAAGAAGCCCCGGCUAACUACGUGCCAGCAGCCGCGGUAAGACGUAGGGGGCCAGCGUUGUUCGGAAUUACUGGGUGUAAAGGGUUCGUAGGCGGUGCGGCAAGUUGGGAGUGAAAUCUCUGGGCUCAACCCAGAGGCUGCUUCCAAAACUGCCGUGCUUGAGUGUGGGAGAGGCUCGUGGAAUUGCAGGUGUAGCGGUGAAAUGCGUAGAUAUCUGCAGGAACACCCGUGGCGAAAGCGGCGAGCUGGACCACUACUGACGCUGAAGAACGAAAGCUAGGGGAGCAAACAGGAUUAGAUACCCUAGUAGUCC